AUUGAACGCUGGCGGCAGGCCUAACACAUGCAAGUCGAGCGGAUGAAGGGAGCUUGCUCCUGGAUUCAGCGGCGGACGGGUGAGUAAUGCCUAGGAAUCUGCCUGGUAGUGGGGGAUAACGUCCGGAAACGGGCGCUAAUACCGCAUACGUCCUGAGGGAGAAGGUGGGGGAUCUUCGGACCUCACGCUAUCAGAUGAGCCUAGGUCGGAUUAGCUAGUUGGUGGGGUAAAGGCCUACCAAGGCGACGAUCCGUAACUGGUCUGAGAGGAUGAUCAGUCACACUGGAACUGAGACACGGUCCAGACUCCUACGGGAGGCAGCAGUGGGGAAUAUUGGACAAUGGGCGAAAGCCUGAUCCAGCUAUGCCGCGUGUGUGAAGAAGGUCUUCGGAUUGUAAAGCACUUUAAGUUGGGAGGAAGGGCAGUAAGUUAAUACCUUGCUGUUUUGACGUUACCAACAGAAUAAGCACCGGCUAACUUCGUG
rnacentral:rRNA from 1 species